GACUCGCUAUUCUGACUCAUGCUUAGCUCUGGCUUUAGCGCCCUCUAGUGGGACACUUCCUUUUUUGGGCUCUGAGUCACUGUUUAGAGCAGCACAUGGGGAAUCAUGCAAGCAUCAGUUAACAUCCAGUCUUUCUUGUCUUUGUUCAGACAUUAUCUUUUUACACCGCUUCUUGUAAAAACGCUUAAAGGCACCACGUGUCUCGGCCUCUUAUUGGAAGAGUGUUUACCUGUCUGCAUAGCUGUGUACGCAAACGCAUAGUGAAGGCGGAACACUCGCUUCAGGAACUCAUUUCAGAGAGCUAGCUGAUGGGUGGAACUGGACGUGACUAAAUUGGGGAGAAAAAUGACCAAACAAACAAAAUACUUGACGAGGCUGAUCAGAUGGACAGACUGACUGUUCUGUUCCCUGACGAAAGGAGCUGCUGUCACUCAACGCUCAGUAC